rnacentral:tRNA from 1 species
GCGCGGGUGGUGGAAUUGGUAGACACGAGGGACUUAAAAUCCCUUGCCGCUUAUACCGGCGUGCGAGUUCAAUUCUCGCUCCGCGCACCA